rnacentral:rRNA from 1 species
GACGAACGCUGGCGGCGUGCCUAAUACAUGCAAGUAGAACGCAGUUGCGAACGGGUGAGUAACGCGUAGGUAACUGCCUCAUAGCGGGGGAUAACUAUUGGAAACGAUAGCUAAUACCUCAUACUGUGAGAUGCACCUGCUUUGUAUUCGCUAGUUGGUGAGGUAAAGGCUAACCAAGGUGACGAUAGAUAGCCGACCUGAGAGGGUGAUCGGCCACGCUGGAACUGGGACACGGCCCAGACUCCUACGGGAGGCAGCAGUAGGAGAUCUUCGGCAAUGGACGGAAGUCUUACCGAGCAAAGCCGCGUGAGUUAAGAAGGUUUUCGGAUCGUAAAGCUCUGUUGUUUGAGAAGCGGUAUCUAACCAGAAAGGGACGGCUAACUACGUGCCAGCAGCCGCGGUAAUUC